UACGUAGGGGGCAAGCGUUGUUCGGAAUUACUGGGCGUAAAGGGCGCGUAGGCGGCACAACAAGUCGGAUGUGAAAGCCCGGGGCUCAACCCCGGAAUGUCUUUCGAAACUGUUGAGCUAGAGUGCAGAAGAGGCAACUGGAAUUCCCAGUGUAGCGGUGAAAUGCGUAGAUAUUGGGAAGAACACCUGAGGCGAAGGCGGGUUGCUGGGCUGACACUGACGCUGAUGCGCGAAAGCCAGGGGAGCGAACAGG
rnacentral:rRNA from 1 species